rnacentral:rRNA from 1 species
GAUGAACGCUGGCGGCGUGCCUAAUACAUGCAAGUCGAGCGAACAGACGAGGAGCUUGCUCCUCUGACGUUAGCGGCGGACGGGUGAGUAACACGUGGAUAACCUACCUAUAAGUCUGGGAUAACUUCGGGAAACCGGAGCUAAUACCGGAUAAUAUAUUGAACCGCAUGGUUCAAUAGUGAAAGACGGUUUUGCUGUCACUUAUAGAUGGAUCCGCGCCGCAUUAGCUAGUUGGUAAGGUAACGGCUUACCAAGGCAACGAUGCGUAGCCGACCUGAGAGGGUGAUCGGCCACACUGGAACUGAGACACGGUCCAGACUCCUACGGGAGGCAGCAGUAGGGAAUCUUCCGCAAUGGGCGAAAGCCUGACGGAGCAACGCCGCGUGAGUGAUGAAGGUCUUCGGAUCGUAAAACUCUGUUAUUGGGGAAGAACAAAUGUGUAAGUAACUAUGCACGUCUUGACGGUACCUAAUCAGAAAGCCACGGCUAACUACGUG